GGGCCGCGGUAUUUUGACCGUGCAAAGGUAGCAUAAUGAAAUGUCUCUUAAUUGGAGACUGGAAUGAACGGUCGGACAAGAAGUAAGCUGUCUCUUUAAUAAAACUGAAAUUUUACUUUUAAGUGAAAAGGCUUAAAUAAUAUAAGAAGACGAUAAGACCCUAUAAAACUUUACAAAUCAUAGAUAUACUUUAGUAAGUUGAGUGUAAAAGGGUGUGUAUAUGAGUUGUUUUGCUGGGGCGGCAGAGAUAUAAACAAGUAACUGUUUUUAGUGUCAAAAUACCGAUAUGUAGUAAACAUGGUCCUUUAAUAAGGAUUAAAAGAUCAAGUUACUUUAGGGAUAACAGCGUAAUUUCUCUUGAGAGUUCUAAUCGACAGAGCAAGUUGCGACCUCGAUGUUGAAUUAAGGUGUUAUUCAGGUGCAGCCGCUUGAAUAGUGAGUCUGUUCGACUUUUAAAACCUU
rnacentral:rRNA from 1 species